rnacentral:rRNA from 1 species
AACGAACGCUGGCGGCGCGCCUAAUACAUGCAAGUCGAGCGAGAAGACGUAGCAAUACGUUUGUAAAGCGGCGAACGGGUGAGGAAUACAUGGGUAACCUACCCUCGAGUGGGGAAGUAACUAGCCGAAACGGUUAAGGCUAAUACCGCGUACGCUCCUUGGACUUCGGUUCAGGGAGGAAAGCGAUACCGUGGGUAUCGCGCUCUUGGAUGGGCUCAUGUCCUAUCAGCUUGUUGGUGAGGUAACGGCUCACCAAGGCUUCGACGGGUAGCUGGUCUGAGAGGACGAUCAGCCACACUGGCACUGCGACACGGGCCAGACUCCUACGGGAGGCAGCAGUAAGGAAUAUUGCGCAAUGGGCGAAAGCCUGACGCAGCGACGCCGCGUGGGGGAGUGAAGGU